GGAUUAGAUACCCUGGUAGUCCACGCCGUAAACGAUGUCAACUAGCUGUUUGUGUUCUUGAAACGUGAGUAGCGUAGCUAACGCGCUAAGUUGACCGCCUGGGGAGUACGGCCGCAAGGUUAAAACUCAAAUGAAUUGACGGGGGCCCGCACAAGCGGUGGAGCAUGUGGUUUAAUUCGAAGCAACGCGAAGAACCUUACCUGCGCUUGACAUCCCUAUCGCGAUUUGCGGAGACGGAUUUCUUCAGUUCGGCUGGAUAGGUGACAGGUGCUGCAUGGCUGUCGUCAGCUCGUGCCG
rnacentral:rRNA from 1 species